AAACUUUCCCCAUAGCACUCACAUAACUCAGCUAGAUAUGGAGACAGAGCAUUUAAUAUCAGAAAUAGAACGUUUAACUUCUGAUGCAUUAAAAGGGCAAGAACCAAAUAGAUGACCCUCUUAAGGAGCUAAUCUAUGGAAGUGUCCAGUAAAAUUCACAUCUUAUAGAUCAGAUUGCACUCUUCAAAGGCAUUCAAGUGUAACUGAAAGGACUGAGCAAAAACGCAAUGACUCUUUAUGCCUUAGAUCUCUGCUGUGAUUAUAAACUUACUACACUGAUCUUCCAAUUUAUUUGCAGAAUUUGCAGCAUAUUUUCAAAUGCUGUUACUCCUUUUUAUGCUCAACUUUUUUUAUUGUGUGGUGCAAGAUUAUAAUGCGCAUAUCUUUCGAAAGUAAAAUGGUGCCAUUUAUGUAUGUAUGUUAUGUAAUGAAGUGAUUUUUAUUCAUAUCACUCUAAUAAAGUAUAGUGAUUAUGGUCGUA